rnacentral:rRNA from 1 species
AUUGAACGCUGGCGGCAUGCCUUACACAUGCAAGUCGAACGGCAGCAUGAUCUAGCUUGCUAGAUUGAUGGCGAGUGGCGAACGGGUGAGUAAUACAUCGGAACGUGCCCUGUAGUGGGGGAUAACUAGUCGAAAGAUUAGCUAAUACCGCAUACGACCUGAGGGUGAAAGUGGGGGACCGCAAGGCCUCAUGCUAUAGGAGCGGCCGAUGUCUGAUUAGCUAGUUGGUGAGGUAAAGGCUCACCAAGGCAACGAUCAGUAGCUGGUCUGAGAGGACGAUCAGCCACACGGGGACUGAGACACGGCCCAGACUCCUACGGGAGGAAGCAGUGGGGAAUUUUGGACAAUGGGGGCAACCCUGAUCCAGCAAUGCCGCGUGUGUGAAGAAGGCCUUCGGGUUGUAAAGCACUUUUGUCCGGAAAGAAAUCGCACUUACUAAUAUUAGGUGUGGAUGACGGUACCGGAGGAAUAAGGACCGGCUAACUACGUGCCAGCCGCCGCAGUAAUAC